rnacentral:rRNA from 1 species
CACGUAGGGCGCGAGCGUUGUCCGGAAUUAUUGGGCGUAAAGAGCUCGUAGGCGGCCUGUUGCGUCCGCUGUGAAAGCCCGGGGCUUAACCCCGGGUCGGCAGUGGAUACGGGCAGGCUAGAGGUAGGUAGGGGAGAAUGGAAUUCCCGGUGUAGCGGUGAAUGCGCAGAUAUCGGGAGGAACACCGGUGGCGAAGGCGGUUCUCUGGGCCUUACCUGACGCUGAGGAGCGAAAGCGUGGGGAGCGAACAGG